UACGAAGGGGGCUAGCGUUGCUCGGAAUUAUUGGGCGUAAAGCGCACGUAGGCGGUUUGUUAAGUCGGAUGUGAAAGCCCUCGGCUCAACUGAGGAAGUGCAUCCGAAACUGGCAAGCUUGAGUACGAAAGAGGGUCGCGGAAUUCCCGGUGUAGAGGUGAAAUUCGUAGAUAUCGGGAGGAACACCGGUGGCGAAGGCGGCGACCUGGGUCGAUACUGACGCUGAGGUGCGAAAGCGUGGGGAGCAAACAGG
rnacentral:rRNA from 1 species